UCCUCACUAUCAGGACUCAAAGCUUCAGCUCUGUUUUGGACAGAAUGAUAUUUAUUUUUGUAAUUUUAGCUUUACUUCUAACAAUACAUGCAUCUGAUGGAGUCAACAUUGUUCAGGAACCCAAAAUAUCAUUUGUGGACCAUCUGAGUUCAUCUGUGAUACUAAACUGUAGACAUGAUAAGACUGACCACUUAACGAUGUUCUGGUACAGACGAAGACACGACACACAGGAUCUUGAACUGCUGGCUUUUUCUUUCGGUAAAGACAAUGCUAAAAUUGAGCCUCCGUUUGAUAAAGCUGAUAAAUACAUAAUGACCCGUCCAGAGGUGCUGAAGGGAACGCUGCAGAUAGAGAAGCUGGAGGCUGCAGACUCUGCUUUAUAUUACUGUGCUACAAGUC